AGGUCAAGCUGGAAAGAGCGCAAGGGGAAUGCCUUGGCAUCAGGAGCCGAAGAAGGACGUGACAAGCUGCGAUAAGCUGCGGUGAGCUGCACAUAAGCUUUGACCCGCAGAUUUCCGAAUGGGGAAACCCGGCAGAGCAAUACUCUGUCA
rnacentral:rRNA from 1 species